GUAGGUGGCAAGCGUUGUCCGGAAUUAUUGGGCGUAAAGCGCGCGCAGGUGGUUCUUUAAGUCUGAUGUGAAAGCCCCCGGGCUCAACCGGGGAGGGUCAUUGGAAACUGGGGAACUUGAGUGCAGGAGAGGAAAGUGGAGUUCCACGUGUAGCGGUGAAAUGCGUAGAUAUGUGGAGGAACACCAGUGGCGAAGGCGACUUUCUGGCCUGUAACUGACACUGAGGCGCGAAAGCGUGGGGAGCAAACAGGAUUAGAUACCCUGGUAGUCCACGCCGUAAACGAUGAGUGCUAAGUGUUGGGGGGUUUCCGCCCCUCAGUGCUGCAGCUAACGCAUUAAGCACUCCGCCUGGGGAGUACGGUCGCAAAGACUG
rnacentral:rRNA from 1 species